rnacentral:rRNA from 1 species
CGGAGGGUGCAAGCGUUAUCCGGAUUCACUGGGUUUAAAGGGUGCGUAGGUGGGCUAGUAAGUCCGUGGUGAAAUCUCUGAGCUUAACUCGGAAACUGCCGUGGAUACUAUUAGUCUUGAAUCUCGUGGAGGUAAGCGGAAUAUGUCAUGUAGCGGUGAAACGCUUAGAUAUGACAUAGAACACCGAUAGCGAAGGCAGCUUGCUACACGAGUAUUGACACUGAGGCACGAAAGCGUGGGGAUCAAACAGGAUUAGACACCCUGAUAGUCCACGCCCUAAACGAUGGAUACUCGACAUACGCGAUACACAGUGUGUGUCUGAGCGAAAGCAUUAAGUAUCCCACCUGGGAAGUACGACCGCAAGGUUG